rnacentral:rRNA from 1 species
ACGCACGCUGGCGGCGUGCCUAAUACAUGCCAGUCGAACGCUUCUUUCCUCCCGAGUGCUUGCACUCAAUUGGAAAGAGGAGUGGCGGACGGGUGAGUAACACGUGGGUAACCUACCCAUCAGAGGGGGAUAACACUUGGAAACAGGUGCUAAUACCGCAUAACAGUUUAUGCCGCAUGGCAUAAGAGUGAAAGGCGCUUUCGGGUGUCGCUGAUGGAUGGACCCGCGGUGCAUUAGCUAGUUGGUGAGGUAACGGCUCACCAAGGCCACGAUGCAUAGCCGACCUGAGAGGGUGAUCGGCCACACUGGGACUGAGACACGGCCCAGACUCCUACGGGAGGCAGCAGUAGGGAAUCUUCGGCAAUGGACGAAAGUCUGACCGAGCAACGCCGCGUGAGUGAAGAAGGUUUUCGGAUCGUAAAACUCUGUUGUUAGAGAAGAACAAGGACGUUAGUAACUGAACGUCCCCUGACGGUAUCUAACCAGAAAGCCACGGCUAACUACGUG